rnacentral:rRNA from 1 species
ACGGAAGGCAGCAGUGGGGAAUAUUGCACAAUGGGCGCAAGCCUGAUGCAGCGACGCCGCGUGAGUGAAGAAGUAUUUCGGUAUGUAAAGCUCUAUCAGCAGGGAAGAAAAUGACGGUACCUGACUAAGAAGCCCCGGCUAACUACGUGCCAGCAGCCGCGGUAAUACGUAGGGGGCAAGCGUUAUCCGGAUUUACUGGGUGUAAAGGGAGCGUAGACGGCAAGGCAAGUCUGAUGUGAAAGGCAGGGGCUCAACUCCUGGACUGCAUUGGAAACUGUCUGGCUGGAGUACCGGAGGGGUAAGCGGAAUUCCUAGUGUAGCGGUGAAAUGCGUAGAUAUUAGGAGGAACACCAGUGGCGAAGGCGGCUUACUGGACUGUAACUGACGUUGAGGCUCGAAAGCGUGGGGAGCAAACAGGAUUAGAUACCCUGGUA